GAUGAAGAACGCAGCGAAAUGCGAUAAGUAAUGCGAAUUGCAGAAUUCCAGUGAGUCAUCGAAUCUUUGAACGCACAUUGCGCCCUUUGGUAUUCCGAAGGGCAUGCCUGUUCGAGCGUCAUUACCACCCCUCAAGCCCUCGGCUUGGUGUUGGACGGUUUGGUGGAGGCCCCCUCGGGGGCUCCUGCCCCUCCCAAAGACAAUGACGGCGGCCUCGUUGGACCCCCGGUACACUGAGUUCUUCACGGGACACGUAUCGGACACAUGGGUUUACGGGACACGGUCUGCCUCCCCUCAGGGAGAAUCUUUCUAAGGUUGACCUCGGAUCAGGUAGGGAUACCCGCUGAACUUAAGCAUAUCAAUAAGCGGAGGA
rnacentral:misc_RNA from 1 species